UACGGAGGGUGCAAGCGUUGUCCGGAUUAUUGGGUUUAAAGGGUGCGUAGGCGGCUUUAUAAGUCCGUGGUGAAAGCCAACAGCUCAACUGUUGAACUGCCAUGGAUACUGUAAGGCUUGAGUACAGACGAGGUAGGCGGAAUGGAUGGUGUAGCGGUGAAAUGCAUAGAUACCAUCCAGAACCCCGAUUGCGUAGGCAGCUUACUAGGCUGUAACUGACGCUGAGGCACGAAAGCGUGGGGAGCGAACAGG
rnacentral:rRNA from 1 species